GCUCAGGACGAACGCUGGCGGCGUGCUUAACACAUGCAAGUCGAGCGGUAAGGCCUUUCGGGGUACACGAGCGGCGAACGGGUGAGUAACACGUGGGUGAUCUGCCCUGCACUUCGGGAUAAGCCUGGGAAACUGGGUCUAAUACCGGAUAUGACCUCAUAUUGCAUGAUGGGGGGUGGAAAGAUUUAUCGGUGCAGGAUGGGCCCGCGGCCUAUCAGCUUGUUGGUGGGGUAAUGGCCUACCAAGGCGACGACGGGUAGCCGACCUGAGAGGGUGACCGGCCACACUGGGACUGAGACACGGCCCAGACUCCUACGGGAGGCAGCAGUGGGGAAUAUUGCACAAUGGGCGAAAGCCUGAUGCAGCGACGCCGCGUGAGGGAUGACGGCCUUCGGGUUGUAAACCUCUUUCAGCAGGGACGAAGCGCAAGUGACGGUACCUGCAGAAGAAGCACCGGCUAACUACGUGCCAGCAGCCGCGGUAAUACGUAGGGUGCAAGCGUUGUCCGGAAUUACUGGGCGUAAAGAGUUCGUAGGCGGUUUGUCGCGUCGUUUGUGAAAACCAGCAGCUCAACUGCUGGCUUGCAGGCGAUACGGGCAGACUUGAGUACUGCAGGGGAGACUGGAAUUCCUGGUGUAGCGGUGAAAUGCGCAGAUAUCAGGAGGAACACCGGUGGCGAAGGCGG
rnacentral:rRNA from 1 species